rnacentral:rRNA from 1 species
CAUGCCUUACACAUGCAAGUCGAACGGCAGCACGGGAGCAAUCCUGGUGGCGAGUGGCGAACGGGUGAGUAAUAUAUCGGAACGUGCCCAGUCGUGGGGGAUAACGUAGCGAAAGCUACGCUAAUACCGCAUACGAUCUAUGGGAUGAAAGCGGGGGGAUCGCAAGACCUCGCGCGAUUGGAGCGGCCGAUAUCAGAUUAGGUAGUUGGUGAGGUAAAGGCUCACCAAGCCGACGAUCUGUAGCUGGUCUGAGAGGACGACCAGCCACACUGGGACUGAGACACGGCCCAGACUCCUACGGGAGGCAGCAGUGGGGAAUUUUGGACGAUGGGCGCAAGCCUGAUCCAGCAAUGCCGCGUGCAGGAUGAAGGCCUUCGGGUUGUAAACUGCUUUUGUACGGAACGAAACGGUGAGCUCUAAUACAGUUUGCUAAUGACGGUACCGUAAGAAUAAGCACCGGCUAACUACGUG